UAAUUUUAAGUAUUUUAUGUUUUCAAUGGUAUUAUAACAAAAGGCUUUCAAUAUCUCUUAAAAUCUUAAAUCCUGGCUGUCUGCAGUGGCUCACACCUGUAAUCCCGACACUUUGAGAGGCCAAGGCUAGUAUCCACUACCACCUCAGCCUCCCAGAGCAAUCCUUACUCUCAGUUACGGUUUGUGGAACUAUAAAUUGGUACAGCUUCAGAGGAGAGUAAUGUGAAUGCUUUUCUCUAAAUUACAAAAGAACAUACUCUCAGAUUCAGUUAACUCCACUUCUAGUAAUGUCUCCUAUGAUGUACAAGAAAGUGUGCAAAAUCACCUAGAUUCAUCAAAGAACUGUUUACAUAAUGAAAAAUAGGAAACCAACAUAUGCACCAAGAUAUUGGUUAAACAAAUUAUGAUGCAUUCAUUUGAUAGACUUGGUCCAUCAGAACCCCAGCAGAAAAAUAUGAGUGCUUAAUGGAGGGACUUUUUUU
rnacentral:lncRNA from 1 species